GCCAAAUGGUCAGUCCAUUCAGUUGCAAACUGAUCGUUGCAGAGAAAACUAGUUGAAUUCGAUUCUAAAUUUAAAACUCGAACUGUUUUUAAUUACAUUUGUAUGAGUGCGAGUGUGUUUUACUAUUUUGGAUUUGGAAUCUCCUUUGUUUAAUUCAAAAUGCCUCCGACCAAAGAUCACAACUCGAAAUAUUGCUACGGCAGAUCAUUUUCAACCAAUGAUAUGGCAAUGUCAGCUAAAGUCUACCAUCCUGCCACCAAUUUGCUGCCCCCGACACCACCUCAAUCUCCGACUGGGAUUUCGACGACUUUCCCCAACCGUACCACCACAUCUUGGAGUCGACAAAAUAGUCAAACCAAUGGAAAAUAUUGAUCGAAUACGUAAAAUAAAGGACUUUAUUAUGAAAAUUAUAGAAAAAUCAAGAAAAAUGGGUGUAAAAGGAGAUUUCUUAGGAUAAACAAUCAUUAUAAAAGUAUUGUUCGCUCCGUUGCAGUGACACGACGAAAAUACGUGAUAGAAUUAAUAGUAACACUCGACUCAUACUUAGGGCAAAUCACAACACAAACAUAAAACAAUGUUACAAUGACACGUUUUGACAAAUAUUUCCCGAAUUAAAUAUAAAAAGAUGUUAUUUUUAUGUAAAAAAAAAAACAUUAGAAUAAUAUUUUUCAAUAUAUAUCUUAAAAUUGAUGCUUUAUUGACAGUGAUAACACUAUCAAUUGUAUCACGCCUUAUCAUACUCUGUUAUCAAUAUGUCAGAAGUUACACAUUUAUGAUAAGAAAUAUAUGUUUAUUUUGGUUUAUUUAUAACAUGACAACAAUAAGUCUGAGAUUAUGUUGAAUUGAGUCUGCGGUUUCUUUUACAUAAAAAUUUACAAACAAUGAUGAUUUCAUUAAAAUUCGUUAUUUUUCGCACGAAUAUUACUCGAAUUUAAAUAACGCCCCCACAUAAUUUAUAAUGAUCGCCUUAGUUAAAUAUUAUAUUUUACGGAAAAAAAGCUACUAAAACAGUCCUAAAAUUGUUAAUUUUUGUUCUAAAGAUGACCUAUUGUUUGAUUUCAUUUUGAGAAAUAUAAUUAUCACCACCCUCGAUAAGAUAAUUAUUUAUAAGUCAUUACAAAAAUCAAUUAUUACUUAACUUUAGUAAUUAAUUAACAUUUUUAUUCAGUUUUGUACACUGUCGAUGAUGUUGUGAUUCGACAUUACAGAAACUUUGACAAUAUGGUGUGGCAAAAUGCUAGUUCUAUUUUUUUAUUUAAACGUAGACCCAAAACAAUUAUUGCUUAUUUUUCCAUUAAGAAAAGUGUUCCUUAAGAUAAAAUAAAAUUAUUUUUGGUUUAAAAAUAAUUUUAUACCUUAAUGUGCCUUACUGUAUGUGUAUCACUGAUACAGAAAAUAAGUAGUAUAGUUAGUUAUAUUGUUGUAAGUCAUUUAUUAUAUCAAAUAAAUGAUUGACUUUUAAAGUAAAGGAAAUAAUAAUAUUACGCCCUGACUUCUAGCUAUUUAAUUGUAAUUAGACAUUAUUCAUAUGAUUUUUAGGAGUUGUCAAAUACUUUUCUAUACACAUCUAAUAUACGUCCCACACGAAUGUGCUCAUGUUUAAAUUUUGUCUGUAUACCCCUACCUACCCACUACGCUAUGAACCUAUAGAUUCAUAGCGUAAUGCCACAGCCUUCAUAUUUUUUAAAUGUUUAUUAACGGAAAAAUGUUUUUAGAAACACAAAAUUAAAACUGUUUCUUUAUAUUAUUGGCAACUUCUAAAAAAUAAUUAUGUUUUCAUAAUGUUUAUAUAUUACAUAUGUAGCCCAUAACCAUUAUAAUGUUUUAUUAUAAUGUUUAUGCAGCCUGCUCAGCGUGGUGACUAUGUACAAAGCACAUGAGUUUACGUCAUUUUUGGCGCGAACUUGUACCGUGUUUGGACAUAGGUCCAGCAGUGGACUGCAAUAGGCUGAAACGACGAUGAUGAUGAUGAUGAUGUUUUAUUAUAUUAAAUUGUGUUUACGUUUAGAUAAUGUCACGUUUUAGUGACAUUUAUAGGUUAACGCAUUUCAUUGUAAUCAACAUUGUAUCUGGUAUUAAAGAAUGUUUCAACCAUUA
rnacentral:misc_RNA from 1 species